GCUCCGGUAGUAUAGUCCGGUCAAGUAUAGCGGCCUCUCGAGCCGCCGACCCGGGUUCAAAUCCCGGCCGGAGCACCA
rnacentral:tRNA from 1 species